rnacentral:rRNA from 1 species
UACGUAGGGACCAAGCGUUGUUCGGAUUUACUGGGCGUAAAGGGCGCGUAGGCGGCGCGGUAAGUCACUUGUGAAAUCUCUGAGCUUAACUCAGAACGGCCAAGUGAUACUGCAGUGCUAGAGUGUGGAAGGGGCAAUCGGAAUUCUUGGUGUAGCGGUGAAAUGCGUAGAUAUCAAGAGGAACACCUGAGGUGAAGACGGGUUGCUGGGCCAACACUGACGCUGAGGCGCGAAAGCCAGGGGAGCAAACGGU